GAUGAAGAACGCAGCGAAAUGCGAUAAGUAAUGUGAAUUGCAGAAUUCCGUGAACCAUCGAAUCUUUGAACGCACAUUGCGCCCCCUGGUAUUCCGGGGGGCAUGCCUGUCCGAGCGUCAUUGCAACCUUCAAGCGCGGCUUGUGUGUUGGGUCUCGUCCCCCGUGGACGGGCCCGAAAGGCAGUGGCGGCGUCCCGACAUGGUGCCCGAGCGUAUGGGAAUCCUCUUCCGCUCGAAUCGGCCCAUGCGGCGCUGGUCGUAACCAAAUUUUUUACCGGUUGACCUCGGAUCAGGUAGGGAUACCCGCUGAACUUAAGCAUAUCAAUAAGCGGAGGA
rnacentral:misc_RNA from 1 species